rnacentral:lncRNA from 1 species
GCAUUAAAUAUAAGAGGAGAACAACGACAUAACACUAAAAUGUAACACACAUAGACAAAAUUCCACGAAUAACAAAUAUAACAUAUAUAUAUAACAUCAAAACCAAAUACAUGAAUUUGGGAUAGACAAGUACCGUGACACGUCUUAUCGCAAUGUGAAUUUACACUCAAAAAUAAGAGAAAACAAACAACACAACGUUAUAAUGUAAUACACACAGAAACGAACUAUAAUAUAACAAUGGCCAUAUUCCUGACUUGGUACAGGGCAUUUUUAAAGGAAAAAAUGGUGGGUUGAACC